AAGGUCACCUUGUGAGAUCCUGAACCUCCAAUAGUUGCUCGGACCUCAGAGGCUAAUUUCUCUUGGACAUCUGGAUGACAGGCUAGCAGAGGUCAGCAGACAUGUCAAAAAAGAAGUUCUCACUCUCUUGAGACACCAGGCCAAUGUCAAAAUAUCUGAUGAUGGCAUAAGGACUAUGUCGUCUCUCAGAAAUGGCUGGCCAAAUUCAACCCAUACUAUGCCUCCGUCAUCAGCCUGUGAUGGCUUUCGAGUACUCACUCUGG